GAAGCAGGCCAGACAAUCGCUGGUUGCCGUGUUCACACGGCGACGGGAGGAAGGUCCGGACUCCAUAGAGCAGGGUGACGGCUAACGGCCGUACGUUGAAAGCCAAGGCGCAAGCUGAGGUAUAAGGCGAGGAAUAGGGCCACAGAGACGAGCGUAUUUAGUUACGGUGAAACGCGGUAACCUCCACCCGGAGCAAUUUCAAAUAGGCACGCGUUGAGGCGGCUCGCGGAGCGUGCGGGUAGAAAGCUUGAGCGGCGGAGUAAUCCGUCGCCUAGAGGAAUGAUUGUCAUAGUGUGAUGCAGCAAUGCAAAGCGCCGUAACAGAAUCCGGCCUACCGGCCUGCUUCAUUU
rnacentral:RNase_P_RNA from 1 species